UUAAGCGACUAAGCGUACACGGUGGAUGCCCUGGCAGUCAGAGGCGAUGAAGGGCGUGCUAAUCUGCGAUAAGCGCCGGUAAGGUGAUAUGAACCGUUAUAACCGGCGAUACCCGAAUGGGGAAACCCAGUGUGACUCGUCACACUAUCAUUAACUGAAUCCAUAGGUUAAUGAGGCGAACCGGGGGAACUGAAACAUCUAAGUACCCCGAGGAAAAGAAAUCAACCGAGAUUCCCCCAGUAGCGGCGAGCGAACGGGGAGGAGCCCAGAGCCUGAAUCAGCAUGUGUGUUAGUGGAAGCGUCUGGAAAGGCGCGCGAUACAGGGUGACAGCCCCGUACACAAAAGCGUAUGUGCUGUGAGCUCGAUGAGUAGGGCGGGACACGUGGUAUCCUGUCUGAAUAUGGGGGGACCAUCCUCCAAGGCUAAAUACUCCUGACUGACCGAUAGUGAACCAGUACCGUGAGGGAAAGGCGAAAAGAACCCCGGCGAGGGGAGUGAAAAAGAACCUGAAACCGUGUACGUACAAGCAGUGGGAGCACCCUUUGGGGUGUGACUGCGUACCUUUUGUAUAAUGGGUCAGCGACUUAUAUUCUGUAGCAAGGUUAACCGAAUAGGGGAGCCGGAGGGAAACCGAGUCUUAAUUGGGCGUUAAGUUGCAGGGUAUAGACCCGAAACCCGGUGAUCUAGCCAUGGGCAGGUUGAAGGUUGGGUAACACUAACUGGAGGACCGAACCGACUAAUGUUGAAAAAUUAGCGGAUGACCUGUGGCUGGGGGUGAAAGGCCAAUCAAACCGGGAGAUAGCUGGUUCUCCCCGAAAGCUAUUUAGGUAGCGCCUCGUGAAUUCAUCUCCGGGGGUAGAGCACUGUUUCGGCUAGGGGGCCAUCCCGGCUUACCAACCCGAUGCAAACUGCGAAUACCGGAGAAUGUUAUCACGGGAGACACACGGCGGGUGCUAACGUCCGUCGUGAAGAGGGAAACAACCCAGACCGCCAGCUAAGGUCCCAAAGUCAUGGUUAAGUGGGAAACGAUGUGGGAAGGCCCAGACAGCCAGGAUGUUGGCUUAGAAGCAGCCAUCAUUUAAAGAAAGCGUAAUAGCUCACUGGUCGAGUCGGCCUGCGCGGAAGAUGUAACGGGGCUAAACCAUGCACCGAAGCUGCGGCAGCGAACGUAUCACUUAAAGCGAUUCAGCGGGUUACGAUUGACGGAGCGAAGCGACGUCAAAGCGUAUACAAAGUCGAGUCGGUUUAAGGAUACGUUCGUUGGGUAGGGGAGCGUUCUGUAAGCCUGUGAAGGUGGCCUGUGAGGGUUGCUGGAGGUAUCAGAAGUGCGAAUGCUGACAUAAGUAACGAUAAAGCGGGUGAAAAGCCCGCUCGCCGGAAGACCAAGGGUUCCUGUCCAACGUUAAUCGGGGCAGGGUGAGUCGACCCCUAAGGCGAGGCCGAAAGGCGUAGUCGAUGGGAAACGGGUUAAUAUUCCCGUACUUGGUGUUACUGCGAAGGGGGGACGGAGAAGGCUAUGUUGGCCGGGCGACGGUUGUCCCGGUUUAAGCGUGUAGGUGUGUGUUCCAGGUAAAUCCGGUUCACUUUAACACUGAGGCGUGACGACGAGGCACUACGGUGCUGAAGCAACAAAUGCCCUGCUUCCAGGAAAAGCCUCUAAGCAUCAGGUAACAUCAAAUCGUACCCCAAACCGACACAGGUGGUCAGGUAGAGAAUACCAAGGCGCUUGAGAGAACUCGGGUGAAGGAACUAGGCAAAAUGGUGCCGUAACUUCGGGAGAAGGCACGCUGACACGUAGGUGAAGUGAUUUACUCAUGGAGCUGAAGUCAGUCGAAGAUACCAGCUGGCUGCAACUGUUUAUUAAAAACACAGCACUGUGCAAACACGAAAGUGGACGUAUACGGUGUGACGCCUGCCCGGUGCCGGAAGGUUAAUUGAUGGGGUCAGCGCAAGCGAAGCUCCUGAUCGAAGCCCCGGUAAACGGCGGCCGUAACUAUAACGGUCCUAAGGUAGCGAAAUUCCUUGUCGGGUAAGUUCCGACCUGCACGAAUGGCGUAAUGAUGGCCAGGCUGUCUCCACCCGAGACUCAGUGAAAUUGAACUCGCUGUGAAGAUGCAGUGUACCCGCGGCAAGACGGAAAGACCCCGUGAACCUUUACUAUAGCUUGACACUGAACAUUGAGCCUUGAUGUGUAGGAUAGGUGGGAGGCUUUGAAGCGUGGACGCCAGUCUGCGUGGAGCCGACCUUGAAAUACCACCCUUUAAUGUUUGAUGUUCUAACGUGGACCCGUAAUCCGGGUUGCGGACAGUGUCUGGUGGGUAGUUUGACUGGGGCGGUCUCCUCCUAAAGAGUAACGGAGGAGCACGAAGGUUGGCUAAUCCUGGUCGGACAUCAGGAGGUUAGUGCAAUGGCAUAAGCCAGCUUGACUGCGAGCGUGACGGCGCGAGCAGGUGCGAAAGCAGGUCAUAGUGAUCCGGUGGUUCUGAAUGGAAGGGCCAUCGCUCAACGGAUAAAAGGUACUCCGGGGAUAACAGGCUGAUACCGCCCAAGAGUUCAUAUCGACGGCGGUGUUUGGCACCUCGAUGUCGGCUCAUCACAUCCUGGGGCUGAAGUAGGUCCCAAGGGUAUGGCUGUUCGCCAUUUAAAGUGGUACGCGAGCUGGGUUUAGAACGUCGUGAGACAGUUCGGUCCCUAUCUGCCGUGGGCGCUGGAGAACUGAGGGGGGCUGCUCCUAGUACGAGAGGACCGGAGUGGACGCAUCACUGGUGUUCGGGUUGUCAUGCCAAUGGCACUGCCCGGUAGCUAAAUGCGGAAGAGAUAAGUGCUGAAAGCAUCUAAGCACGAAACUUGCCCCGAGAUGAGUUCUCCCUGAGACUUAGAGUCUCCUGAAGGAACGUUGAAGACGACGACGUUGAUAGGCCGGGUGUGUAAGCGCAGCGAUGCGUUGAGCUAACCGGUACUAAUGAACCGUGAGGCUUAACCUU
rnacentral:rRNA from 1 species